UACGUAGGGUGCGAGCGUUGUCCGGAAUUAUUGGGCGUAAAGAGCUCGUAGGCGGUGUGUCACGUCGGCCGUGAAAACCUGCAGCUUAACUGUGGGCGUGCGGUCGAUACGGGCAUCACUGGAGUUCGGCAGGGGAGACUGGAAUUCCUGGUGUAGCGGUGAAAUGCGCAGAUAUCAGGAGGAACACCGGUGGCGAAGGCGGAUCUCUGGGCCUUACCUGACGCUCAGGCACGAAAGCUAGGGGAGCGAACAGG
rnacentral:rRNA from 1 species